rnacentral:lncRNA from 1 species
AUAUAGUCACUUUAACUCACACCUCACGAUUGUGAAACUUUUCAACAUUCACUUGAAACAAUUAACCGGCAUGUUAAAAUAGUUGCCAAGGCAAUUAGCAAGAUGACACCAAUAUUUAUCCAACCAAAAAAUAUGACUGGUGUACAUUCCAAAAUUUGACAUAAUACUCGAUUUUGGCCUUGGUUUAAGGUAAAAUUUCAAU